GAGUAUAGUGUCUCUGUGAUCCCAUCACCUUCCGAAAACCCAUUUCUGAACAGGUCCUCCCGCAUGAGACGGUCCUCACUCCACUGCUGCCUACCUCCAGAGACGGCUGAACCCUCAAACCUGUGCGGGUCACAGAGGCCACGUGGACAGCCCUCACUCACCCCACCUGUGUGCUCACUGCCAAGCUCCCGUCCAAUCAGGACCAGAAUACUGACUGCAGCUAUGCGCCAAAGAGUGGCCCCCUAGGUGUGCAUCAGUCACCUUGUCUCACACAGGGUCCCCCGGGCUGCAAAGGGAGAGUGAGUCUCUCAAGGUUGAACGAUGAGAUGAGAAGGCUUGUGUUGGUGAGCCUCAAGCACCACAGGUGCGGCGUUAAGGUCUCCAGUAGCCCCUUUGCCAUGAAGACUAUGCCAUCGCACCAUGCCAUGGGUGGUACUUGGACUGAGAACAGACUGCCCAGCACCCAGAACUGAGAAGAAACAUGCUGGUUUGCAGACACUGAACCAGAAGUACAUGGACUGGGUUCUCUCAUAGACGCCCUCAGUGAACUUUUCUCUGAAUGACUGUGUAUAGGGAAGAGAAGAGGGUGUCACCUAACACAGGGAUCGAUUCUUCCCAGUGAUACAGGAGCUUUUGAAACACACCCGCUCAGGCUCAACGGCAUCAUUGAACGAGUGGUUUCAGCCAAAAGGUGGUUAUGUCCACAUCUGUAGCACAUCUGCACAUAUCUGCUCAUCACUAGGGUGACCAUGUACUGAAGUUCUCUGGCUCAGGAUAGACAGGAAGACACACUGACCCAUACAGACUGUGUGUUCACUGGGGCUCAGAGUGAGACGCCUGUCCCUGUGACCCACAGGACAGUGACUAAAGGCAAAGUGUGGACCAGAAAAGAGAGGUCAGCUCAGGAGCCUGGGUGCUCAGGUCCUACGUGACUUCCCUGUCCAGACCCAAUGGUUCUUUUUUUUUUUUUUUUUUUUUUUUUUUUGAGCUCUCUUAAAUUCUAACCCAACUAAACUGAUGUUCUUAAGGAUAAAAAAAAAAAAAAAA